rnacentral:lncRNA from 1 species
GUUCUUGAGGAUGGACACGUUGUCAGGUUGUUUGGUUUGCAUUGCUUCAAUGAGAGCUGUGGUUUUCAGCCGCAAGAGCUGGCUUAGGGUCUUGGUUCGGUAGGUGUAAGACUGUGGUCUGCAGCAAAGUGCACCAACUUCUCCAAACAUGUCGAAUGUACGUAAAACACCCAACACUUGUUCUUUCUCCAUUGGAUUACAUUCUAUUAUUUCUACUUCACCCGAAACGAUUAUGUAGACUUCAUCAGGUGCUUCGUCUCGAAUUAUAACAUCUUCUCUUGGUGGUAUGAAUUCGGCCUUCAUGUCCGCAAUCUUAGGAGAAUUUCUCUGGAAACACCGUCGAACAGAUAAACUUUUUCAACUGUUGCUAAAAACAAAUGCAGUCUAAUGCUUU